UUUCUGUUUCUUAAUUUCCUAUUCAUGUGCUCCAGAUCUGCAUAUUUGGCUGUAGUGUUUUUUUCGGAUUGCUAAAAUGGUUGAUGUUCCAUCUGGUUUGCUGUUGUUUCUUGCAGUUUGGGCAUGGGCUCAACGAGGAGAAGAAUCAUAGGGAGGUGAUUUGGACGAGUGAGGCGACCAUGAAAGGAAAGAUGGUUUUGAUGCACACUGCCUAUUUGGUGAAAUGCAAGUACUUGGGAUCUCUUUAUUUUCUGUUUCUCCUUAACUUCCUAUGCAAUUUAUUUAUCGUGUUGAAUGUAUAGAGUUUGGAGAGUAGGUAUAUGCAAGGGGGAGCUGGCAGGUGUUAGUUUGGAGAGUGGGUAUAUGCAAGCUAUCCUGCCAGUUAGGUGAAAUCUUGGAAAAAUAUAUUAUCUGCAUGGCAGGCAUGCCAUAGCAUGGAGGCAAGCAAUGAUACCAUGUGUAGGUGCUUGCAAAGCAGCCCUGAAAUACUAAAAUUCAGAUCGGAGGUUGAGAUCACUUGCCAAUAUAAUGAUCAGAUAGAUUAGCCCGCGGCCGAAGUUCAAGACAAAAGUGCAAAGAGGUCACACACAUGGGAGUAAAGUGGAUAAAUACUAAGGUAUCUUUAGCGAUGAUCAAAACCAGUGUUUCUUUACAUGUCUUCCAUAAAUUAUGGAAAUGAGUUGUACAUAUUGUUAAUAAGUUACAUAGAUUUGUUUGUAGUGAACUGUUCCAUAAUUAGUUAGUUAAUUUAGUGCCGAGGAAUUGUCAAAGGUGCAGAAAUUUGCAUCGGGAGGGUCUCCAUUGUGUUGAUGAAUCACACAAGUGGGGUUGCUUUUGAAAACACAUUCAGUUUUCAUUCAGGUAACAUUCAGUUCCCAUUCAUGUAAAUUGUGUUCUUUUACUACAAUUUCUGGAAAAAAAAACCCUACAUCAUCAGCUCUACGUACAUACACACAAAGCUCGGUAUUAAAUCUACAUGCACCCAGCGAGUAGAUUUAUGAUCUCCACCAAGUAUAAUUAUGACUUUAGUUGGUACGCAAUAUGUUUAUAUUUGUAUAUACACGCAAUUUGUCGAAAAUCUCAUAACAUCUCAGAUAAAUUAUGGAGAGCUAUGAAUGACUGCAGCUAAGAGUAUUAUAUUCAAAUAUUCUUAGAACGCCUUAUCGAAUAACAACAGACAUAUCUAGCUUCAGAAUAAACCGAGUGAUGCAACUACUUUUUUUUGUUAUUUUCAGAACAUUAGUUUGAUUCUGUAUGAAAGCAUUGGGCUCCAAGAAACACUGUGGGAGCCUGCUAAUAUGUUUUUGUACAUGUAUAUUAAUUAUUAGUUUGGAGCCAAACAUGUUCUCCGGGGUUUGAUGGAGUUUUAAUAGCUCUAAUAAGAUAGGAAGCUCCUCGAAAGCAAAAGUACACUGCACUUUUACUUCUUUUCUGCACUUAUGCAAUAUUUUCUCACUGAGCACAGAAAAUAUUGGUACCCUUCCUAUUUAUUAUUUAGUGUUGUAGACUACAAACCAAUACAUGCUAGAAUGUGUGAUGAAUUUAGACAAUGGUUUGGAAAUUUCUUUCGCACCACGACCUGAAACUAAACACUUAGCAACAAUGUUAUUGAUUCUAACAGAUUUCACUGCCCAGGAAGAUGCAAAAAGGCCAAGGAUUACGAUUUUGUUAAAUAUUUAGGUGGAUAAAUCUCCCCGUUUAAGUGUUGAUAUGGACCAACAUGGUAUUCAGGCGCUUAACUCAAAGAGAAAUUGAAAUCUCGAAUCGCGUAGUGCACUUAGUUUACAUAGAAGAGGCACAUGGCCAGUGUUCAGUUUUGUGUACAGUUCUAAGGAGUGGCCUAGAAUUUAUCUUCUCUGAAUGUCUGCUAUGUGCUGUUUAUUCUGCUGCGUAUCUGUGAUAGACAUAUGUAUACAUAAUUAGUUUUCCUGUUACCUGCUUUUAUGCUUUUUUCCAGCUCCAUUGAAAGUAAAUGUGAUGGCAUGCUUAUUGUAGAGCUCAGAUGAACGAACUGUCUCU